ACUGGUUUGAUGUAUACAAUCUGUGAUUUUUUUACAAAUUAUUCACAUUUAAUUACAUUUCACUCAUAAUCAUGAUAAAAUCUUAUCUUAAUACAUAAAACCAUAUAACAAUAUAAGCAGUUGAAGUAGUUUAACUACCUCUUAAUCAAUGUCUAAGAAAAAGGGAUAUGCAAAGAAAUCACAGAUUGUAUACAUCAAACCAGU
rnacentral:misc_RNA from 1 species